rnacentral:rRNA from 1 species
UGGGGAAUAUUGCACAAUGGGCGGAAGCCUGAUGCAGCGACGCCGCGUGGGGGAUGAAGGCCUUCGGGUUGUAAACUCCUUUCGACAGGGACGAAGCUUUUGUGACGGUACCUGUAUAAGAAGCACCGGCUAACUACGUGCCAGCAGCCGCGGUAAUACGUAGGGUGCGAGCGUUGUCCGGAAUUACUGGGCGUAAAGAGCUCGUAGGUGGUUUGUCGCGUCGUCUGUGAAAUUCCGGGGCUUAACUCCGGGCGUGCAGGCGAUACGGGCUGACUUUGGUGGUGGAGGGGAGAAUGGGAUUCCUGGUGUAGCGGUGAAAUGCGCAGAUAUCAGGAGGAACACCGAUGGCGAAGGCAGGUCUCUGGGCAGUAACUGACGCUGAGGAGCGAAAGCAUGGGUAGCGAACAGG